rnacentral:rRNA from 1 species
AUACGGAGGGUGCAAGCGUUAAUCGGAAUUACUGGGCGUAAAGCGCACGCAGGCGGUUGAUUAAGUUAGAUGUGAAAUCCCCGGGCUUAACCUGGGAAUGGCAUCUAAGACUGGUCAGCUAGAGUCUUGUAGAGGGGGGUAGAAUUCCAUGUGUAGCGGUGAAAUGCGUAGAGAUGUGGAGGAAUACCGGUGGCGAAGGCGGCCCCCUGGACAAAGACUGACGCUCAGGUGCGAAAGCGUGGGGAGCAAACAGGAUUAGAUACCCUGGUAGUCCACGCUGUAAACGAUGUCGAUUUGAAGGUUGUUCCCUUGAGGAGUGGCUUUCGGAGCUAACGCGUUAAAUCGACCGCCUGGGGAGUACGGCCGCAAGGUUAAA